UUUGAUGACCCAAGUAAAAGGAGUAGCAUAGCCGAAUAAGCUCUGCACUUUUGCCCCUUAUGCACCUGUGAGUAAAAAGUAAGCCUGAAAGAAGCUCGGGGUGUUAUGUCGGGACAAGGGUAUCAUGAAAUAUAUCCGUGUUAUGGGGGUUAAAACAAGCAUGAUCAAUUGUAUUGUCCGUUUUGCGCUUUAACCUUAAAAUACCAACACAAUUCGAUUUCAAAUUGGGUAAUUUCGAGGAUUUUCCUCCUCUCCGAUCAGAGAAAUUAUUCAAAAUAAACAACGUUUGUAUGUCCACUGUUACGAAAUUUCCCUCCUCCUCCUCCUGCUCACUUUGGUUCAUUCCGGAGUUUCGGCAGAAUGCAUCGAUUGCUGAAUGAAGAUGGCGGAUUCAGGAACGAUGCUGUCAACUAGACUUUAAACAUUUGCAUAUUUUCUGUCGUUAUGCAUUUCGUGUGGAUAUUGGUCUUUCAAAAACGUACCUAGGUGGCGAGAGAGGGCGGCGGAGGAGAAGAGAGCGCAGGAGGGCUCGAACCAGGAACACAUCGACAACCGCCACCCUCGAAGUAGCAUUACCCAUGCUGAGCAAGGGGAACAAGUAUUCCAUUGAAUCCCUGAGCUGACGAGGUGGGCAAUCACUCCCCCACAGUGGCUCAUGUUCAGAGGUACCAUUUGCCCCCUGAAGGAGAUGCACUUCUUCAAUGACCCACCAUCCUCCUCUG
ensembl:lncRNA